rnacentral:rRNA from 1 species
UACAGAGGGUGCAAGCGUUGCUCGGAUUUACUGGGCGUAAAGCGUACGCAGACGGUGAGAAAGGUCGGAUGUGAAAGCCCCGGGCUCAACCCUGGAACUGCAUCCGAAACCAUCUCGCUAGAGUAUGAGAGAGGGAAGCAGAAUUCCUGGUGUAGAGGUGAAAUUCGUAGAUAUCAGGAGGAAUACCUGCGGCGAAGGCGGCUUCCUGGCUCAUUACUGACGUUCAGGUACGAAAGCGUGGGUAGCAAACAGG